GAUCAUGGCUCAGGACGAACGCUGGCGGCGUGCCUAAUACAUGCAAGUAGAACGCUGAAGAGAGGAGCUUGCUCUUCUUGGAUGAGUUGCGAACGGGUGAGUAACGCGUAGGUAACCUGCCUGGUAGCGGGGGAUAACUAUUGGAAACGAUAGCUAAUACCGCAUAAUAGCAGUUAUUGCAUGAUAACUGUUUGAAAGGUGCAAUUGCAUCACUACCAGAUGG
rnacentral:rRNA from 1 species